rnacentral:rRNA from 1 species
AUUGAACGCUGGCGGUAGGCCUAACACAUGCAAGUCGAACGGCAGCACAGUAAGAGCUUGCUCUUACGGGUGGCGAGUGGCGGACGGGUGAGGAAUACAUCGGAAUCUACUUUUUCGUGGGGGAUAACGUAGGGAAACUUACGCUAAUACCGCAUACUACCUACGGGUGAAAGUAGGGGAUCUUCGGACCUUGCGCGAUUGAAUGAGCCGAUGUUGGAUUAGCUAGUUGGCGGGGUAAAGGCCCACCAAGGCGACGAUCCGUAGCUGGUCUGAGAGGAUGAUCAGCCACACUGGAACUGAGACACGGUCCAGACUCCUACGGGAGGCAGCAGUGGGGAAUAUUGGACAAUGGGCGCAAGCCUGAUCCAGCCAUACCGCGUGGGUGAAGAAGGCCUUCGGGUUGUAAAGCCCUUUUGUUGGGAAAGAAAAGCAGCAGGUUAAUACCUCGCUGUUCUGACGUUACCCAAAGAAUAAGCACCGGCUAACUUCGUG